rnacentral:rRNA from 1 species
GUAGGUGGCAAGCGUUGUCCGGAAUUAUUGGGCGUAAAGCGCGCGCAGGCGGUCCUUUAAGUCUGAUGUGAAAGCCCACGGCUCAACCGUGGAGGGUCAUUGGAAACUGGGGGACUUGAGUACAGAAGAGGAAAGCGGAAUUCCAAGUGUAGCGGUGAAAUGCGUAGAGAUUUGGAGGAACACCAGUGGCGAAGGCGGCUUUCUGGUCUGUAACUGACGCUGAGGCGCGAAAGCGUGGGGAGCAAACAGGAUUAAAUACCCUGGUAGUCCACGCCGUAAGCGAUGAGUGCUAAGUGUUAGGGGGUUUCCCGCCCCCUUAGUGCUGCAGCUAACGCAUUAAGCACUCCGCCUGGGGAGUACGGCCGCAAGGCUG